ACUCAUUAUACCACCAGUUAGUGACGCGAAUAAAGAAAUCGUCUGCUGCUGUUAGCCUGUUACCGGUGUAGCACAUUUACGUGAAAUCGUGAAUGAAUCCAAAGAAAAAAUGAUUUUCAACCUAUUUUUGCUAUCGUAGAAGUUCUCUAUUGUUUUGCCCUGGUUUUGCCAAAGACUACGAAGUCUGUGGUUUUGCAACUAUGCAUACUUGCCCAGUUGCACGUGAUUUGAUCCUUCUGAUUCCUAAUCGACGGCCAUCCAACAAAGCUACAAAGCUGUUUGUGUGAUUGAGCUCUAUUAAUUUUUGAAGAAUCUAGAUAUUUUCAUCACCUUUCGGAGCCGACAACCCGACGUCAGUAAACUCUUCCUGGUUUUUCCCUUUCCCUGUGUCCUCGUGUACAUUCAUGCGAAGGUGAGUGUAUUCACGAGGACUUCCUUCCGCUUUUCCUACCUGACAUUGCGACUUUUCCAGUUACGUUCGACUUCCUCAUCCAUUAAGAUGGUUGCAAACAAUUUCAAGAAAAAGUGCUGCUAAAGGAAAAAUAACCACCUCCUUCCAGUCUUGUCAAGCCAGAAAACGCAAUUUAAAGGCAUCGUCUAUUCGGCUACCUUCUCAAGUCGGUCAUGUUGUUGCUGAAGAUUUCUUUUCACAAAUUGAAGAGACCUUACAGGCUGUACUGGAUGGACCAGUUCACGUUCCCAGCCGUCUCUUUACUAGAAAAGGCCACAAUAUUGACUUCGCCACCAUAUUCAGCAUGGAUAAGACUCCUGUUCCUAUAAACCCGGUAUGGGACAGUUUUACCAAUAAAACACGAUUUGUGGAAGAUCUCCACAUCCAAAAGGGAAAUCGAUUGGUGCUUUGGAAAAUUUUCCGCCCUCAAGCUUAUAGCCACAACCACUACUUUCAAUGUUACGCCAAACCAGUUAAUGGUUCCUGUUAUCUUUUGACCCGGUUUGAUCACUCAGUGAUUAAUGAUACUUUGAGGUGGACUGUGUGUAGUAUAUAACUGUUGAAUUGGUCGAUCAAAGAAGUCAGUUAUUGAUCUGAUUUUAACCACCUAACAGCUCUCGGACACAGUCAACAUGAAGUUCUUGAUUCUUGUCAGCCUCAUUGCUGUCGUUGCCGCCAAAUCCGCUUAUCCAACUAAGGAUUAUUCAUCCCCCGCUUAUGAAAAGCCUGCUGAAUCCUACAAACCUCAACCAUAUAGUUUCGAAUGGGCGGUUAAGGAUGAAUCCUACAACGACUACUCUCAUACUCAGAGUAGCGAUGGGAAAGUGAUCACAGGAUCGUACCGCAUGGAACUCCCAGACGGCCGUGCUCAAAUCGUCAACUACAAGGCUGACAGCAACGGAUACACCGCCGACGUCACGUACGAAGGAGAGGCCCAAUACCCGCCUGUCACUUACUCCGCCUCAGCUUACUCUGCUUCGGUCUAUAAUGCUCCAACUUACCCCGCGUUCAGCAAAAUCCCAGUAAGCGAAAUUCCAACAUACAAUUCCCCAACCUACAAAAUCCCAUCUAGAUAUUAAGCAUAAUUUCACGUUACGCAUGUAAUUCAUCUGUGUGAAUGGUAAUUGAUUUUCGCUUGUACACGAAAAUUCGAUUUAAUUAGCAGGAACUCAUUUAUGUCUGUCAACCCCCCACAAUUAAUAACUUUCACCGUAAAAUCAUGCUGAUAAAUCCGGAUAAAUCAAAUGAUAAAUAUUCGAACUUUGUUUCUA